AAAAUUUUAAGUUAAAUAAACUAUUAAUCUUCAAAAUUAAAAAAAUAUUUUUGAAUAUAAAUUUUA
rnacentral:tRNA from 1 species